GCUGGGCAUGCUGGCAUGCACCUGUAGCUCUAGCUAAUCUUGAGGCUGAGGCAGAAGGAUCAGUUGGGCCCAAGGAGCUCUGGGCUAUACCUGCCCAUCAGGUACCAACUAAGUUGGGAAUCAAUAUGGUGACCUCCCAGGAACAGAGGACCACUAGGUUGCUUAAGGAGAGGUAAACUGCCCCAAGUUGGAAACAAAGCAGAUCAGAACAACUGUGCUGAUCAGUAGUUGGACUGCGCCUGUGAAUAGACACUGCACUUCAGCCUGUGCAUCAUAGCAAAACCUGUCUCAG
rnacentral:SRP_RNA from 1 species